rnacentral:rRNA from 1 species
GACGAACGCUGGCGGCGUGCUUAACACAUGCAAGUCGAACGGAAAGGCCCUGCUUUUGUGGGGUGCUCGAGUGGCGAACGGGUGAGUAACACGUGAGUAACCUGCCCUUGACUUUGGGAUAACUUCAGGAAACUGGGGCUAAUACCGGAUAGGAGCUCCUGCUGCAUGGUGGGGGUUGGAAAGUUUCGGCGGUUGGGGAUGGACUCGCGGCUUAUCAGCUUAUUGGUGGGGUAGUGGCUUACCAAGGCUUUGACGGGUAGCCGGCCUGAGAGGGUGACCGGCCACAUGGGGAUGGGGAUACGGCCAAGACCCCAACGGGAGGAAGAAGUGGGGAAUAUGGAACAAGGGGCGGAAGCCGGAGGAAGAAACGCCGGGUGGGGGAGGACGGCCUUCGGGUGGUAAACCGCUUUCGCCGGUGACGAGGCGUGAGGGAGGGUAAUGGGAAAAGAAGAACCGGCUAAUUACGU